GACGAACGCUGGCGGCGUGCUUAACACAUGCAAGUCGAACGAUGAAGCCUAGCUUGCUAGGUGGAUUAGUGGCGAACGGGUGAGUAAUACGUGAGUAACCUACCUUUAACUCUGGGAUAAGCCUGGGAAACUGGGUCUAAUACCGGAUACGACCAAUCUCCGCAUGGGGUGUUGGUGGAAAGCGUUAUGUAGUGGUUAUAGAUGGGCUCACGGCCUAUCAGCUUGUUGGUGAGGUAACGGCUCACCAAGGCGACGACGGGUAGCCGGCCUGAGAGGGUGACCGGCCACACUGGGACUGAGACACGGCCCAGACUCCUACGGGAGGCAGCAGUGGGGAAUAUUGCACAAUGGGCGCAAGCCUGAUGCAGCGACGCCGCGUGAGGGAUGACGGCCUUCGGGUUGUAAACCUCUGUUAGCAGGGAAGAAGAGAAAUUGACGGUACCUGCAGAGAAAGCGCCGGCUAACUACGUGCCAGCAGCCGCGGUAAUACGUAGGGCGCGAGCGUUGUCCGGAAUUAUUGGGCGUAAAGAGCUUGUAGGCGGUUUGUCGCGUCUGCUGUGAAAGGCCGGGGCUUAACCCCGUGUAUUGCAGUGGGUACGGGCAGACUAGAGUGCAGUAGGGGAGACUGGAACUCCUGGUGUAGCGGUGGAAUGCGCAGAUAUCAGGAAGAACACCGAUGGCGAAGGCAGGUCUCUGGGCUGUAACUGACGCUGAGGAGCGAAAGCAUGGGGAGCGAACAGG
rnacentral:rRNA from 1 species